AUACGGAGGGUGCAAGCGUUACUCGGAAUCACUGGGCGUAAAGCGCGCGCAGGCGGCUAUUUAAGUUGGAUGUGAGAGCCUACGGCUCAACCGUAGAACUGCAUCCAAAACUAUUUAGCUAGAGUGUGGGAGAGGAAGAUGGAAUUAGUUGUGUAGGGGUAAAAUCCGUAGAGAUAACUAGGAAUACCAAAAGCGAAGGCAAUCUUCUGGAACACUACUGACGCUGAGGCGCGAAAGCGUGGGGAGCAAACAGGAUUAGAAACCCUAGUAGUCC
rnacentral:rRNA from 1 species